rnacentral:tRNA from 2 species
GGAGGGGUGCCUGAGUGGUUAAAAGGGGCGGACUGUAAAUCCGCUGGCUUCGGUCUACAUAGGUUCAAAUCCUAUCCCCUCCACCA